GAACGCUGGCGGCAUGCCUUACACAUGCAAGUCGAACGGUAACAGGCCGCAAGGUGCUGACGAGUGGCGAACGGGUGAGUAAUACAUCGGAACGUGCCCGAGAGUGGGGGAUAACGAAGCGAAAGCUUUGCUAAUACCGCAUACGAUCUACGGAUGAAAGCAGGGGACCGCAAGGCCUUGCGCUGACGGAGCGGCCGAUGGCAGAUUAGGUAGUUGGUGGGAUAAAAGCUUACCAAGCCGACGAUCUGUAGCUGGUCUGAGAGGACGACCAGCCACACUGGGACUGAGACACGGCCCAGACUCCUACGGGAGGCAGCAGUGGGGAAUUUUGGACAAUGGGCGCAAGCCUGAUCCAGCCAUGCCGCGUGCAGGAUGAAGGCCUUCGGGUUGUAAACUGCUUUUGUACGGAACGAAAAGACUCUGGAUAAUACCUGGGGUUCAUGACGGUACCGUAAGAAUAAGCACCGGCUAACUACGUG
rnacentral:rRNA from 1 species